AGCUUUGCACAGUGGCAAUAUUGUAGCCAAUGAGGUUUAACCGAGGAGCGAUUAUUGCUAAUUGAAAAAAAUAAAAAUAAAAUAAAAUCUCUAGCAGAAAUAGUUGGCAAAAAAAGAGAGAUUU
rnacentral:snRNA from 12 species